GCUGGGGCUCGGCUCCGGGGCUGGCGGUCGGACAGUCUCUGGCACGCUCAGUCCGGGCUUGGGGCCCCGCGGCGGAGAAGGAGGUGGAGGGGGCGGCGGCGGCGGUGGUGGCGGCACCAUGUUUUUUCACUCAGUCAAUCUCUGGAACCUGGCGUUUUAUGUCUUCAUGGUCUUUCUGGCAACCCUGGGGCUGUGGGAUGUCUUCUUCGGCUUCGAGGAGAAUAAGUGCAGUAUGAGCUACAUGUUUGAGUACCCGGAGUAUCAGAGUUCAGCAGUGCCUAAGACCUGGGUCUCAACAGACCACCUCUCCAUUGUGUGGUGUAAACAAUUGCAGUUGACUACAGUUCGAGCAUUCUUUGAUCUUAUUGAUGCUGAUACUAAACAAAUAACUCAAAAUUCCAAGAAGAAACUGUCAGUUUUGAAUCACCACUUUAUAAGACACCCAUCAAAACAUUUUGAGGAAAAUCCAGCUAUAAUUUCUGACUUAACAGGGACAUCUAUGUGGGUUCCAGUAAAAGUGUCCAAAUGGACCUAUGUAGCUUACAAUGAAUCUGAGAAGAUAUAUUUUACAUUUCCUCUUGAAAAUCAUAGAAAAAUCUACACUCAUGUCUAUUGUCAGAGCACUAUGCUGGAUACAAAUAGUUGGAUUUUUGCUUGCAUAAACAGCACUUCUAUGUGCCUGCAAGGGGUUGAUUUAUCAUGGAAAGCUGAACUGCUGCCAACAAUUAAGUAUCUGACCUUAAGACUUCAAGACUAUCCAUCUUUGUCUCACCUUGUUGUUUAUGUACCAUCUGUUCAUGGAAGUAAGUUUGUUGUAGAUUGUGAAUUCUUUAAAAAAGAGAAAAGAUACGUACAGCUUCCUGUAACUCAUCUUUUUUCCUUUGGAUUGUCUUCAAGGAAAGUGGUGUUAAAUACAAAUGGCCUAUACUACAAUCUAGAGCUUCUGAACUUUGGACAGAUAUACCAAGCUUUUAAAAUCAACGUGGUAAGCAAGUGCUCAGCAGUCAAAGAAGAAAUAACCAAUAUCUAUAGACUUCAUAUUCCUUGGUCUUAUGAAGAUUCACUAACCAUUGCACAGGCUCCAUCUUCCACAGAAAUUUCUCUGAAACUCCAUAUUGCUCAACCAGAAAACGAUACCCAUGUGGCAUUAUUUAAAAUGUACACGUCAUCAGACUGUCGGUACGAGGUGACAGUUAAGACUUCCUUUUCACAAAUACUUGGACAGGUAGUUAGAUUUCAUGGUGGAGCUCUUCCUGCUUAUGUCGUAUCUAAUAUCCUUCUUGCUUAUAGAGGACAGUUAUAUUCUCUUUUCUCAACAGGUUGUUGCUUAGAAUAUGCUGCCAUGUUGGAUAAAGAAGCCAAACCAUACAAAGUUGAUCCUUUUGUAAUUAUCAUUAAGUUUCUGUUGGGGUAAGUUUUAUUAUCUGUGAUAAUGAUUUUAAUUGUGUUUUACAUGUAACAUUAUAUUUGGUUCCAUAAUGCAAUAUAAAUUUUCAUACAGAUUUGGCAGUUGACUUGUUUUGUUAAACGGGGUUUUUUUUUUUCUCUUAGGCAAAGGUCUAAUAAGUAUAUCAAUGUCUACUUCAAUAGUAUCAUUUCAAAAGUAAUUAUUCACUUUAUGUAUAUCAGUCUAAACUUAGACUGCCUUUAAUGUUUGUAAAUAGGUGUAUAUGGUCCAUGAUCUGUGAGUAUCCUAGAUUCAAAUGCAAAUCAUUACAGGGUAUUGAUGAAACAGUGCCUCUCUGAUCACUUUUAAAAGUAUAUUUUAGACCUCUCUACCCUAGUUAACAUUCCAUUCUUAAUGUAGUCACAUUUUCAGAUUUUUGGUUAAGUAUCAAUAUGUAGAUCUUUUUUUCCAUCGUUACAACUAACUUGGCUUUCUAAAAAAAAAAAAAAAGAACAUAUUACUUUCUACUAGGAUCAAUAUAGAUUAGUAAAGCUAUACUGAAAUGCAGAUCUUCAAAGAUCAGUAGGCUCACUUGGAAAAUAAAUGACUUAUUCCAUACAAAGAAUUAAAAAUUUGUUUUUCAGUAUAAUUAUAAAUUAAGUAUCAUGGAACUUUAGAGACUCUCUUGAAUAGUCAGACACCUCAAAUAUUAAGUCCUUAAAUUUCAGUUGUUGGGUUUUUUGCUUUUAUAUUUUCUUUUCUCCACAGGUAUAAAUGGUUUAAAGAAUUGUGGGAUGUAUUAUUGUUACCAGAAUUAGAUGCCGUCAUUUUAACUAGUCAGAGUAUGUGUUUCCCCCUGAUAUCCUUGAUUCUCUUUCUGUUUGGAACGUGUACUGCCUACUGGAGUGGCUUACUGUCUUCUGCAUCUGUGAGACUUCUUUCUUCAUUGUGGCUAGCUUUGAAAAGACCCUCUGAACUUCCUAAAGAUAUCAAGAUGAUAUCACCAGACUUGCCCUUUUUGACAAUUGUCUUGAUCAUAGUUAGUUGGACAACUUGUGGAGCACUAGCCAUACUUCUUUCUUAUCUUUACUAUGUGUUUAAGGUUGUUCAUCUGCAAGCCAGCUUAACAACUUUUAAGAAUAGCCAGCCUGUGAAUCCCAAACACUCUAGAAGAAGUGAAAAGAAAUCCAAUCAUCAUAAAGACUCCUCAAUACACCAUCUUCGUUUAUCUGCUAACGAUGCUGAAGAUAGCCUUCGCAUGCACAGUACUGUGAUUAACUUACUAACAUGGAUUGUAUUACUCAGCAUGCCUUCUCUAAUUUAUUGGCUAAAGAAUCUUAGGUAUUAUUUUAAACUUAAUCCUGAUCCAUGUAAACCUUUGGCAUUUAUCCUUAUUCCGACUAUGGCAAUUCUUGGAAAUACUUACACUGUUUCAAUAAAAUCAAGUAAAUUGUUGAAGACUACUUCACAAUUUCCACUU
rnacentral:sRNA from 1 species